CGACGAGGAGCGUCUCGCAUUUCAAGAGGCAGGAGGAGAGGGAAAGGCUGGGGCUGAGAUUAUGGCGGGCUAGAGAUGGAGGUCACUGAGAAUGUUACACGUGCCAAUUGAAAUUAAGCAUGAUAAACUAGAUAUCCACAAAAGCAGCCCGAAGUGGACACCACACAUCCAGCGCUGGAACAUCAUGGCUAUUGUUAAAUGCAGUAUCAGUGCACUCCGCUUUGGAGCUUUCCAAGACGAGUCUGCUAAGAGAUGCAAAAGAGACAGGAGAGCUAUCGUGGUUGAUUCAUUAGAGAUCUCCUUGCCGAUGACCUGAAACAACACAUGCAACUCCAGCGAGAAGAGGAGAGGGAGGCAUGUACACUACCAUGUCUAUGUCGGAUGAGAAAGGCGACCAGCUCAGCUGUGGUUUCUGGAAAGAACAUAUGUUUGCUUGCUGACUGACAACUUUGUUGUCCUUCAAGAGCACCAGGUGGAUGUAGUAAGUCUUGAAAGGACACGUAAUCCACCCACAAUGAUGUGCUAUUAGAUAGUGUUAUCAUCGCUGGUGGACUUUGGCUUUGAUAUUUGAAUCUGAAGCGUGACACGUGGAUGGUUCUGAAUCGGCUUCUGCAUUUUAAUUUGUGGUACUGAAUUUUUUUUUACUUUUUUAAAUUACUUUCUAUCGUCGUAUUUUAUCUUUAAAAAACUCAAUAAUAUUGGGCUCGCCGAGGCUGCCGCCUUAACUGGAUCGAGCCGGGCCGAUAGUGCGGCCCAAUCUGGUGAGCUGGGCAUCGCCGGUCCACGGCCGAUUCUUUUCGACCGGAGAUCACACGGAAGAUAUACCCUUUUCCUUACCUUUCCGUCUCUCAUACCCGGCCCCACUAUGGGACCCAUAGCUAAUGGAGAUCCCGCCCCGUCGUUCGAAAGCCCCGCCUCGCUCCUCAUUUUUUAAAAGGGCUCGAUCCGAGACCACCGGAGGCUCUUCUUUCUCCCCGCCAUGGUAAGCCCUAACCCUGCUCCCUCCUCCUCACUUCGUGGAACCCUAAUCUCUCCCCGCUGGUUCUUCGUGGGUUCCUUCGACUCUCGUCUCGUCGAUCUUGUUCGUGCUGGGGGUAUCGAUCUCGGUGCCGGCGGUCGGAGCAAGAAGGCCAGACGCACCGCCCCGAGGUUUCUAGCGUGGAGGACGGAAGCAAGUUUACCACGGCGAUACGAGAACGGCUCUUCACGAGCAAGAUUAACCAGCCGUCCGUAUCCCUCGACGGGCUUAUCAGUUUCACGGAAGGUAUGGUCCGAUCUUUCUUCUUGGUUCACAAGUGUUUGUAUCAACUCUCUGCAUUU